UACGAAGGGGGCGAGCGUUGUUCGGAAUUACUGGGCGUAAAGGGUGCGUAGGUGGCAUGGUAAGUCGGAUGUGAAAUCCCGGGGCUCAACCCCGGAACUGCAUUCGAUACUGCUGCGCUAGAGUACUGGAGAGGAGAUUGGAAUUUACGGUGUAGCAGUGAAAUGCGUAGAUAUCGUAAGGAAGACCAGUGGCGAAGGCGGAUCUCUGGACAGUUACUGACACUGAGGCACGAAGGCCAGGGGAGCAAACGGG
rnacentral:rRNA from 1 species